rnacentral:rRNA from 1 species
GAUGAACGCUGGCGGCGUGCCUAACACAUGCAAGUCGAACGAGAUGCGUAUUGGAAAGCUUCGGCCGGAAGAUGCGUUAUCUAGUGGCGGACGGGUGAGUAACACGUGGGUAACCUGCCUUAUGGAGGGGGAUAACAGAGAGAAAUCACUGCUAAUACCGCAUAAGCACACAGUACCGCAUGGUAGAGUGUGAAAAGAUUUAUCGCCAUAAGAUGGACCCGCGUCUGAUUAGCCAGUUGGCAGGGUAAAAGCCUACCAAAGCGACGAUCAGUAGCCGAUCUGAGAGGAUGACCGGCCACAUUGGGACUGAGACACGGCCCAAACUCCUACGGGAGGCAGCAGUGGGGAAUAUUGCACAAUGGGGGAAACCCUGAUGCAGCGACGCCGCGUGAGUGAAGAAGUAUUUCGGUAUGUAAAGCUCUAUCAGCAGGGAAGAUAAUGA